GGGCAAUUGGUCUAUCAGGUAGGAUUCUCGUUUCCAAAUCGAGAGAUCCAGGUUCAAUUCCUGGAUUGCCCC
rfam:Tetrahymena thermophila SB210 genomic scaffold scf_8254548, whole genome shotgun sequence.